UGAAGAGCUCCUCCCCUCACUAGCACCAAGAAAAUCAGUCUUCUAAACUUUUUACAGGGUUGCCCAGCUCCUUUGCAGGCAAAGAUUUAAAGAUUGGGAUCCAGGAUGGAUCAGUCUCCACUGAUCUUGAUCAAUAGACACACACACAUACCCUCCAGUCCCCUCAUUAACACCAUGAAAAUAAGUUUUCUAGCUUUUUACAGGGUUGCCUACCUCCAUCGCAGGCAAGGAUUUAGAGAUGCAGUUUUUUGCGACAAUAAAAGCUUGGUUACCAGUGUGAAAACACAGGUUUGAGUCUGAGGGUGACCAAUUUGUGCAAUGUAUAAACAGGUCAGGGCCGAUUAUCGUCUGACCCCCCUCACGGUGCCCCUGCGAAAGUGGGACUUGCACUAGGUUUAGAGAGGGAGA